UACAGAGGUGGCAAGCGUUAAUCGGAAUUACUGGGCGUAAAGUGUGCGCAGGCGGCGCCGCAAGUCGAGUGUGAAAGCCCCGAGCUUAACUUGGGAAUUGCGCUCGAAACUAUGGUGCUGGAGUGUGGCAGAGGAAGGUGGAAUUCCACGUGUAGCGGUGAAAUGCGUAGAGAUGUGGAGGAACACCGAUGGCGAAGGCAGCCUUCUGGGCCAACACUGACGCUCAUGCACGAAAGCGUGGGGAGCAAACAGG
rnacentral:rRNA from 1 species